rnacentral:rRNA from 1 species
CAGGAUAAACGCUGGCGGCGUGCUUAACACAUGCAAGUCGAACGGAGUGGUUCUCCCGAGGAUUGACGGUGCUUGCACCUGAUUGACUCAUUGAAUCACUUAGUGGCGGACGGGUGAGUAACGCGUGGGUAACCCGCCCUAUACUGGGGGAUAGCAGUUGGAAACGACUGAUAAUACCGCAUAAGCGCACAGGACCGCAUGGUCUAGUGUGAAAAACUCCGGUGGUAUAGGAUGGACCCGCGUCUGAUUAGCUAGUUGGUGAGGUAACGGCCCACCAAGGCAACGAUCAGUAGCCGGCCUGAGAGGGUGUACGGCCACAUUGGGACUGAGACACGGCCCAAACUCCUACGGGAGGCAGCAGUGGGGAAUAUUGGACAAUGGGGGAAACCCUGAUCCAGCGAACCGCCGCGUGAGCGAUGAAGUAUUUCGGUAUGUAAAGCUCUAUCAGCAGGGAAGAUAAUGACGGUACCUGACUAAGAAGCACCGGCUAAAUACGUGCCAGCCGCGGC